UGUCUCGUGUGUACUUUAAUUAUAACGAAUUAUUUGAUCUUUAAAACGCAACUCUAACUUAUACGGUUUUAAUAAUCCACCGUGUGUUACGUGUCACCAGCUUACACAUACAUAUCGGUUCGUAGUUCGAAAACGGUUCGAGAUAAAGCUUUGAAAGAUUUGAAGUCGGGUUUUUUUAUUCGACUUUAAUUUAUGAGAUAUAAAACAUUGAUGUAGCUUAAAUAUUUACAAAGAUACAGAUGUGUAAGCUGGAGACACGGUACUCCAGCUCGCACAUAGUUUUUUGAUCGUGGUUUUAACAGUAUUUGAGCUAAAGUCUUGAAAAGUGGAAAGCCUACUAUUUGGAUUCGACUGUAAUUUUUGAGGUAUAAUACAUUAUCGUAGCAUAAAUAUUUACGAAGAUACAGAUGUGUCAGCUGGGGACACGUGUCCUCAGCUUACACACAGAAAACAACUCAUAGUUAUGAAGUUCUAAUGGCUCUAAUUGAAUGACUGAGAGGUUUGAUGACUCUAAUUAGGCUUUUAUUGAUGGUAUACUUGGAAUUGCUCUAGGGCCAAUGAGGAAGUUGGAGACAUUCAGGUGAUAAAAUAUCACACAUUUUAUUGACACUCCCCACUUGCUAUGAUGGAGUCAUCACUGCGUUAGAAACGCUGGGAGAAGAACACCUAAAUCUUGUAUUUGUGAAAACACGUCUAUUAGACCAUGAAGUGAAACUGAAGGCUGAAAGUACGACUGAGCUUAAGGCCCUCAAUACAGGCACCAAGCAUGAUGGUGAUCAUAAUACUCUUGUCUUUUUCAAGAAAAAUCAAAACUAUGUGCAAAAGAAAAAUAAUAAUUAUCGACCCGGAAACUACAAGAUUACUAAGUUGUAUUGUGAGCAUUGUGGACGCAGAAAUCACAUAAAAAAGGAUUGUCGUUACUUUAAAAACAAGUUGCAGCAAAAUAAUCAAUCAACAUCGAGAUCAGCCAACAACAUUCAACCAUGCAACGAUGAUGAGGACGGUUUCGCUUUUAUGUUAUCAAAAUGAAAUCAACUAGCAGAUGUCUUCACGAAGAUGGUGCCAACGGUUAAGUUCCUGGACAUAAGAAAUAAGCUAAAUUUAAUUUAAGAUGUUAGUAAAUUUAAAAUAAGUAUUGGUACCUAACUUAAAAUAUUGUGUCUCAAAUCAAAGUUUAAUUGAUUAUUUUUUAGUUAUUGUCUAGCAUUAAGAGUCACAUCUCAAAGUGGAUUUUGAGUGGCUUGAAAAUUAUAUUGCCUAAGAUGGGAAUUGAACCCACUUCAUUAUUAUUAAGUAAAACAUAAUUGCUUAAGAUGGGAAUCGAACCCACUUCAUCAUUAUUAUGUAUAAAAUAUUUUUGUUAAUAACGAACUUGAUUUUGGAAACAUAAUGUAUCUCAAACUAAUACAGUUGAUAUGUAUGUAUAAAUUAUUAAAAGACUUGAAUAUUUGAGGGGGACUGUUGGUAUACAUGUUACGGUCAAUGUGAUAAAUUGAAAAUUAUUAAUAAUAACCGGUUAUUAUGAAUAAUUACCGACAGUCGCGGUAAAAGUGAUAAAUUAAUCACAUUUAACAGUGAUUAUUUAAUAAUUCAACCUUAGUACUAUCAAAUUUCAUAAAAGAGAACAACAUCUUGUGCACGUGCUCGUGUACAGCCAAACUUUUGAACGUUUUGAUAUCAUAUAUUAAUAUAAUUUGGCAUAAUGAGUUUGGAAUGUUUCUUGCAUAAUAUUACUUUUCCAUGAUGCCUAUAACAUAAUGUUUUGAUUUAAAGCGAAAAAUAGGUUAGGGUGCGGCGGGGGUGGCCCUUGGGCCACCCCUAAGCCGCCUAUUUAGUUUUAUACACACAUAAAUGACCUCAUAUUAAUCACAUUUACCAAAUCAUGCGGUAAUUAUUCAUAAUAACCGGCGAUUAUUCAUAAUUUUCACAUUUAUCACUUUGACCGUAACAUACACAAAUAAUCAAGUAAAUGUUAAUCUGUGGUUAAUCUCAUUCGAUGUUCAAUUCAUUCAUUCAGAGUGAAUGAAGCACAUGUAUCAAUAUGUCAAUGUCACUACUUUUUUCUCCUUCCUUGGAAGAAUACAGUUUUUACUUUCUGAAA